rnacentral:rRNA from 1 species
AGUGAACGCUGGCGGUAGGCCUAACACAUGCAAGUCGAACGGCAGCACAGUAAGAGCUUGCUCUUACGGGUGGCGAGUGGCGGACGGGUGAGGAAUACAUCGGAAUCUACUUUUUCUUGGGUGAUAACGUAGGGAAACUUACGCUAAUACCGCAUACGACCUACGGGUGAAAUCAGGGGAUCUUCGGACCUUGCGCGAUUGAAUGAGCCGAUGUCGGAUUAGCUAGUUGGCGGGGUAAAGGCCCACCAAGGCGACGAUCCGUAGCUGGUCUGAGAGGAUGAUCAGUCACACUGGAACUGAGACACGGUCCAGACUCCUACGGGAGGCAGCAGUGGGGAAUAUUGGACAAUGGGCGCAAGCCUGAUCCAGCCAUACCGCGUGGGUGAAGAAGGCCUUCGGGUUGUAAAGCCCUUUUGUUGGGAAAGAAAAGCAGCAGGUUAAUACCCCGCUGUUCUGACGGUACCAAAAGAAUAAGCACCGGCUAACUUCGUG